rnacentral:misc_RNA from 1 species
AAUAUAAAUGAAAGAAGAAAAAAGGUAUAGAAUAAAUUAAAACAAUCAUCUGAAAAAGGGUAAUAAAAUAUGAUAUCCUUAAUUCAAAAUUAUGUGUUCUGUUCCUCACAUUAUAUAAGGUUAUCAAAAUCCUCACCCCUCUCUCCCCCAAUUUGUUGAUUCCCACCUCAAACAAUACAACUACAAUUUCCUUAUUUACCAUUCCUCCAAAAUAUUACUAACCCCAUUUCUCCUCCAAAGCCCCAAGGCCA